rnacentral:rRNA from 1 species
GACGACUCCUACGGGAGGCAGCAGUGAGGAAUAUUGGUCAAUGGACGAGAGUCUGAACCAGCCAAGUAGCGUGCAGGAUGACGGCCCUAUGGGUUGUAAACUGCUUUUAUAAGGGAAUAAAGUUAGUCUCGUGAGAUUUUUUGCAUGUACCUUAUGAAUAAGGACCGGCUAAUUCCGUGC